rnacentral:rRNA from 1 species
AGCAGUCGCCGCGGUAAUACGAAGGGGGCUAGCGUUGCUCGGAAUCACUGGGCGUAAAGGGUGCGUAGGCGGGUCUUUAAGUCAGGGGUGAAAUCCUGGAGCUCAACUCCAGAACUGCCUUUGAUACUGAGGAUCUUGAGUUCGGGAGAGGUGAGUGGAACUGCGAGUGUAGAGGUGAAAUUCGUAGAUAUUCGCAAGAACACCAGUGGCGAAGGCGGCUCACUGGCCCGAUACUGACGCUGAGGCACGAAAGCGUGGGGAGCAAACAGGAUUAGAUACCCCCGUAGUCCCUGUCUCUUAUAC